GACGAACGCUGGCGGCGUGCUUAACACAUGCAAGUCGAGCGGAAAGGCCCUUCGGGGUACUCGAGCGGCGAACGGGUGAGUAACACGUGAGUAACCUGCCCCAGACUUUGGGAUAACCCUCGGAAACGGGGGCUAAUACCGGAUACGACACAGCUUCGCAUGGGGUCUGUGUGGAAAGUUUUUCGGUUUGGGAUGGGCUCGCGGCCUAUCAGCUUGUUGGUGGGGUGAUGGCCUACCAAGGCGACGACGGGUAGCCGGCCUGAGAGGGCGACCGGCCACACUGGGACUGAGACACGGCCCAGACUCCUACGGGAGGCAGCAGUGGGGAAUAUCGCACAAUGGGCGGAAGCCUGAUGCAGCGACGCCGCGUGAGGGAUGACGGCCUUCGGGUUGUAAACCUCUUUCAGCAGGGACGAAGCGUAAGUGACGGUACCUGCAGAAGAAGCGCCGGCCAACUACGUG
rnacentral:rRNA from 1 species